AGAUUGAACGCUGGCGGCAUGCUUUACACAUGCAAGUCGAACGGUAACAGGCCGCAAGGUGCUGACGAGUGGCGAACGGGUGAGUAAUGCAUCGGAACGUGCCCAGUCGUGGGGGAUAACGCAGCGAAAGCUGUGCUAAUACCGCAUACGAUCUAUGGAUGAAAGGCGGGGACCGAAAGGCCUCGCGCGAUUGGAGCGGCCGAUGUCAGAUUAGCUA
rnacentral:rRNA from 1 species